rnacentral:rRNA from 1 species
CCUGGCUCAGGACGAACGCUGGCGGCGUGCUUAACACGAUGCAACCACUUCGGUGGGGAUUAGUGGCGAACGGGUGAGUAACACGUGGGCAAUCUGCCCUGCACUCUGGGACAAGCCCUGGAAACGGGGUCUAAUACCGGAUACUGAGCUACUUGGGCAUCCAAGUGGUUCGAAAGCUCCGGCGGUGGCAGGAUGAGCCCGCGGCCUAUCAGCUUGUUGGUGAGGUAAUGGCUCACCAAGGCGACGACGGGUAGCCGGCCUGAGAGGGCGACCGGCCACACUGGGACUGAGACACGGCCCAGACUCCUACGGGAGGCAGCAGUGGGGAAUAUUGCACAAUGGGCGAAAGCCUGAUGCAGCGACGCCGCGUGAGGGAUGACGGCCUUCGGGUUGUAAACCUCUUUCAGCAGGGAAGAAGCGAAAGUGACGGUACCUGCAGAAGAAGCGCCGGCUAACUACGUGCCAGCAGCCGCGGUAAUACGUAGGGCGCAAGCGUUGUCCGGAAUUAUUGGGCGUAAAGAGCUCGUAGGCGGGUGAAAGCCCGGGGCUUAACCCCGGGUCUGCAGUCGAUACGGGCAGGCUAGAGUUCGGUAGGGGAGAUCGGAAUUCCUGGUGUAGCGGUGAAAUGCGCAGAUAUCAGGAGGAACACCGGUGGCGAAGGCGGAUCUCUGGGCCGAUACUGACGCUGAGGAGCGAAAGCGUGGGGAGCGAACAGGAUUAGAUACCCUGGUAGUCCACGCCGUAAACGGUGGGCACUAGGUGUGGGCAACAUUCCACGUUGUCCGUGCCGCAGCUAACGCAUUAAGUGCCCCGCCUGGGGGAGUACGGCCGCAAGGCUAAAAACUCAAAAGGAAUUGACGGGGGGCCCGCACAAGCGGCGGAGCAUGUGGGCUUAAUUUCGACGCAACGCGAAGAACCUUACCAAGGCUUGACAUACACCGGAAACGUCCAGAGAUGGGCGCCCCCUUGUGGUCGGUGUACAGGUGGUGCAUGGCUGUCGUCAGCUCGUGUCGUGAGAUGUUGGGUUAAGUCCCGCAACGAGCGCAACCCUUGUCCCGUGUUGCCAGCAGGCCCUUGUGGUGCUGGGGACUCACGGGAGACCGCCGGGGUCAACUCGGAGGAAGGUGGGGACGACGUCAAGUCAUCAUGCCCCUUAUGUCUUGGGCUGCACACGUGCUACAAUGGCCGGUACAAUGAGCUGCGAUACCGCGAGGUGGAGCGAAUCUCAAAAAGCCGGUCUCAGUUCGGAUUGGGGUCUGCAACUCGACCCCAUGAAGUCGGAGUCGCUAGUAAUCGCAGAUCAGCAUUGCUGCGGUGAAUACGUUCCCGGGCCUUGUACACACCGCCCGUCACGUCACGAAAGUCGGUAACACCCGAAGCCGGUGGCCCAACCCCCUUGUGGG